CCUACGGGCGGCAGCAGUGAGGAAUAUUGGUCAAUGGCCGCGAGCCUGAACCAGCCAAGUAGCGUGAAGGAUGACUGCCCUAUGGGUUGUAAACUUCUUUUAUAAAGGAAUAAAGUGAGGCACGUGUGCAUUGUUGUAUGUACCUUAUGAAUAAGGAUCGGCUAACUCCGUGCCAGCAGCCGCGGUAAUACGGAGGAGCCGAGCGUUAUCCGGAUUUAUUGGGUUUAAAGGGGGCGUAGGUGGGCUGUUAAGUCAGUUGUGAAAGUUUGCGGCUCCCCCGUAAAAUUGCCAUUGAUACUGGCAGUCUUGAGUACAGUUGAGGUAGGCGGAAUGCGUUGUGUAGCGGUGAAAUGCUUAGAUAUCACUCAGAACUCCGAUUGCGAAGGCAGCUUACUAAACUGCCACUGCCACUGAUGCUCGACAGUGUGGGUAUCAAACAGGAUUAGAUACCCUGGUAGUC
rnacentral:rRNA from 1 species